AGACGUGCCCCAGCAUAUCCCAGAUACAGUGACACAAACACCUGGAUAUCUGAUGAUUCUGCCUCUCCACGUUGUAAAUGCAACAAACUAGUUUGGUCAAAUAGUAGAUCAGCAGAAGAACCAAUAUACAAUUCUUGCUGAAGGAAUUAAUGGGUAUUUUAAGGAACCUGAUAAUAAGAUUGCUGUUAAAAAUGUGGAGAAGCUGGCAUUUCAUGGUUUAUGUCAGAAAACAGUUGUUCACAGGGCUCAGGUGCUAGAUAUUUCCCCAAAAGAGAAGGAAAAUAUGUUCUGUAGUGUCAAAAUUAACUAUAUAGAUGAAGGCAGAACAUGUCAAGUCCAAAGUUACCAGCUGCUUCCCUCACCUGCCAAGUUUCAGUGUCUGCCACCUCAGGCUGGGGACUUUGUAGAGUGACACCCAUUGGUAAUGAACUGGAGUGGAACCCAAAGGUAACUAAUUCUAUUCAUCAAACACUUAAAGGAGAACUACACAAAGUAAAAGUAGUACUGCCCUUGGGAAACACAACUGGGAUUGACCCAAUUGGAGUUAACUACGAGUUCCUUACGACACUAUUAUGAUGAAAAAGAUGGCAAUAUCUGGAGAAGAAUUAAACAUGGGAACGUGCCUGUUGGGACAUUGGGAGAAAACCAAUUACUUACAGGUCUGGGUUACCAGGCUUCCAGACUUGAAGAUGUCAGUUAACGAAUACGACGUUCAAUCUGAGGUUUUGCCUACAGGUCUGGGAACUGACAAUGCAGAACAUAGAACACAACUUCAGAAGCUGUGCAGCCACAUGAACAUAUUGGACAUGCAGCAAAC